rnacentral:misc_RNA from 1 species
AACUCUCAAACAAGAUUGAUUUGUUUCUAUCUCUGUUUGGAUUUUGGACUCUGCUGUGCCAAUGCAGCUGGUCUUAAAUUUAUUAGCUAGUCCUAAUGAAGGUUUGGUUCUACUCGGCAUGAUAAUUAUCUGAUGUUGAGGACAGUCUCAGGGCCGGCCAAGCUCUCUCUGGAUUGCUUCUAAUCGUCUUUUUGGGACAAUUUAUUCAAU